ensembl:miRNA ocu-mir-504 ocu-mir-504
AGACCCUGGUCUGCACUCUAUCUGUAUGCAUAUUGAAGGGAGUGCAGGGCAGGGUUUCC